rnacentral:rRNA from 1 species
GACAGAGGGUGCAAACGUUGUUCGGAAUUACUGGGCGUAAAGCGCGUGUAGGCGGCCAACUAAGUCGGGCGUGAAAUCCCACGGCUCAACCGUGGAAGUGCACUCGAAACUGGAUGGCUAGAGUCCUGGAGAGGAAGGUGGAAUGCUUGGUGUAGAGGUGAAAUUCGUAGAUAUUCGCAAGAACACCAGUGGCGAAGGCGGCUCACUGGCCCAUUACUGACGCUGAGGCACGAAAGCGUGGGGAGCAAACAGG